UUGUAUCUGCCACCGGGUAGAGAAUGCCUCGGCAUUCGAUCACGCAUCGUUAGGUCUUUGAAGAUGCGCGGUCGGGUGCCUUUUUUGA
rnacentral:ncRNA from 1 species